rnacentral:lncRNA from 1 species
UACGCAGAGUCCAAAAGUCCCCAUGAAAAGUGAGGUGUUGCCUUGACCCCCAGGUCCAUGGGGCAACCAACUGUAGACCCAAAGGUGUGGCAAACUGUCUCUGUGGGUGUGGGUGUAGCACACACUGACAUUGACUUACACCGUACUUCAGAGACGAGUCUUGCUGGACAACUCAUCCCAUGGCAGCAGCAUGAGAGGCCUGGUCCAUGUCCCUGUGCUGAACUGAGACAUCGUCCUCGCUCCAGAGAGCUCACAACUACAGCUCUUGAGCAUUUCUGAGACCCUCAUCUACUCUCCAACCAGUCAGUAGCACAAGACUGCGGACUGGCUGGUCAUCAGGACAGCCUGCCUGUGUUCUGCCUCAUGCAUACAGAUAAUGCUGACUUCUACUAUGUAGUCUUGACACACAAUGACUCAAGGCUUAUUUGCUUGUCUCCACUGAGUGACAACCCAACAGAAAUCCCCUGGAGACUUCAACAAGCUGCACACUCUUGGUGCUCAGAUCUGAGAAUGCUGUGUGGUCUUCCACGUGAAACAGGGAGAGAAGGAAUCCCUUACAGAGGAUGUGUACUCCCUUCCUCAUCCACAUCAGUUCCACUUACUUGGACAGCGUACAGAGUGAGCAGAGCCACGGCAUUAGCUACUUUUUUCAUCCCUCCCAGUGGUGCUUAGAAAUUUACUUUCCUUUCAUACCAAGACUAUCAGCUCUGGUGGCUACCCAGAGGCUCCUGGGACAAGAAGGACCUUACAGUUCCCUGCGGAUCCGUGUGGCUUCGUAGGGACUAAAUGUGGGCAUCCUGUGACCAAAAGUGCUCAUCUAUAAAGUAGAUAUACACGUUUGAGCAAAUCAUCUUGGAUUCCUUGCUAGUAAGUGGAAAAAAAGCCAAAGGGUCAGUAGAGACAAGGGCACGACUCAUUUCCUCCAAAUCAGAAAGAAGGUUAGAUAUUUUCAUAAACCCCACUGACUGCACUGACUAGAUCUCCUCAGACUGUGGUGGGAUCCUAGACACUGGCUCAGAGGUAGACACCUGCAUUGCAGACAUCUAAACUUAGACGAGAUGCAAUCAUUCAGCCUGUAACACAUCCAAAGGUAUGUCAUUUUGAUAGUUCUGCGUUGUAUUGUUGUGUUUGUUGUGAUCCAGAGCUCCAAGGCCCACCAUCAAAAACAGUCAUACAGGCACAUCCUAAUUAGGAGAUUUUAGAGUUUUACUGAUGUAAAACCUUGGAAGUCCCAGUCACUUCUCUGGUAAGCAUCACUGGAACUAACCAGAACUGUGACAUUUACCAAUAAGAAUAUCAGAAUUCCUAUCAUCGAAAUGGUUUCUAUUUUUUUCCAAUGGCUCCAUUUUGGAUUUUUUUUUUUUUCCAGAACUUCACUGUGAUGGGCAUCUUGUAUCAGAGUGCACCCAGUAGGUCUUGGAGUAUCCUCCUUUGAUGUGGCAUGAAAUAGAGGCAUGCCUCUGUGCUGGUGAUUGAAUAGACAUUCCUGAAAUAAGAUAUAUUCCUGAUAUAAGAGCCCACGUCUCUAGACCCUCACUUGAUUCAUGGGGUCAAAUUUUAUCAGACCCUAGGGAUGGGACUCAGGAUAGGUCAGCUGAAUGCCCCUCUGAAGUGUUCAUUUCUCUCUGCUGGCUCUAAAAGGAUUCUAUAUAACUAGCCCAGACUUGGACAUUUGCCUUUUACAAAUGUGAAAUUAGACUAAAGGUAUCCCACCCCUUUGCUGAGUGCCUACAUAAUCCAAAGGUUCUUGCAGGCAUCUAAUUUACUGUACAAGCACUGGCCGGUAGAUCUAUGUAGACGCGGUAAGACAAUAUGUCCCCACAUUUGUGCAUGUGUCCAGACCACUAUAGAACAGUUCAAACAAAAGGUGCAAAUGAACUGUGGAAAAAUAAUCCAGCUUGCAGACAGCAUCUUCGAGAAACUUUGUCGCUGUACCUUAACAGUUAAAGCUUCUUCAUAAAUAUUUUUCUUCUUCAAAUUGCUGUUCUUGGUGGCAGAAAUAAAGAAACACUGGCACCAGAUGACUAGCUAAUA